GGAGUGGAGCCUGCGGCUUAAUUUGACUCAACACGGGAAAACUUACCAAGACCGAACAGUAGAAGGAAUGAC
rnacentral:rRNA from 1 species